rnacentral:rRNA from 1 species
GUGGGGAUUAGUGGCGAACGGGUGAGUAACACGUGGGCAAUCUGCCCUGCACUCUGGGACAAGCCCUGGAAACGGGGUCUAAUACCGGAUACUGACCCGCUUGGGCAUCCAAGCGGUUCGAAAGCUCCGGCGGUGCAGGAUGAGCCCGCGGCCUAUCAGCUUGUUGGUGAGGUAAUGGCUCACCAAGGCGACGACGGGUAGCCGGCCUGAGAGGGCGACCGGCCACACUGGGACUGAGACACGGCCCAGACUCCUACGGGAGGCAGCAGUGGGGAAUAUUGCACAAUGGGCGAAAGCCUGAUGCAGCGACGCCGCGUGAGGGAUGACGGCCUUCGGGUUGUAAACCUCUUUCAGCAGGGAAGAAGCGAAAGUGACGGUACCUGCAGAAGAAGCGCCGGCUAACUACGUGCCAGCAGCCGCGGUAAUACGUAGGGCGCGAGCGUUGUCCGGAAUUAUUGGGCGUAAAGAGCUCGUAGGCGGCUUGUCACGUCGGUUGUGAAAGCCCGGGGCUUAACCCCGGGUCUGCAGUCGAUACGGGCAGGCUAGAGUUCGGUAGGGGAGAUCGGAAUUCCUGGUGUAGCGGUGAAAUGCGCAGAUAUC